UCAACUUCUGCGUCGGUGUCGGCUAUACGAUAUUCUUAAAAUGCACCUAACUUUAAUCAUGCACUGUGAUUUCUUUGAAAGAAAAAACUAUUUCCGUAUUAGGUUAAACGGUAGACAAGCUCCCAUCCGUAGCAUUGAACAAUUUUAUCUUUAAAAAAACAUCCCAAAAGAAAACUUGAGACUGAUUGUGCGCUUAAUGUGGUCUUUUAAGUGGUUGUGAUCUAAAAGCAGGUAAGCCACUGACUAACGCACAUUGUGCCAGUUGCCAUUUCCACUGUGCGUGUGACAGCGGCUAACCUGGUUUUGGGAAUACCUCGUCCAUAAACCAGCCACAGCCGGACCAGACACCUUUGUACAAGUAGUUCCUAAUCAUGUCCCAUGCACAUUUCUGGGACCGGCCUGCUCAAGAUGAAAUCCCUCCCUGUGGUGUCCAUGUGUACUGUAGCCUACUUCCUCUUAUGUGCACAUACUGUACCUUAUUGUAGCCUUGCACUGCCGCCUAUAGACCCAGCUGCUCCAAUGCCACCUACUGCCAAGACUGCUGGUGCUUUGUUUCAGUUUCAGUUUUAUUUUGCAUGGAUAACACAAGAUAGAUAUCCUUAAUGAUUCUGCAAGCAACAAUGACCAUUGUGUUUGCACCUUGUAUGUUUGUAAAAAGUUUUUCCUUAAGUGAGAAGUAAAGUUUGUACUACAUCAA